rnacentral:tRNA from 1 species
CAAGUUAUUCUUAUAGUUAAGGUUUUCAUUUACACUGAAUUUAUUUGUCGUGCAAUUCGUCAUAACUUGA